AAAACACCGCACAUAGGUUGUCCCUCAUGACCUCAAUCACCAUGUCCUCCCUCCAGCAGACCACGGUCUUGCUAUCUUCGGUGGCCAUCCUCUUUCUCGAUCUUUCGCCGGCCUCCUACGGCAGCGGCUAGCUCGCCGCCGCACCCCAAUCAUGCGAGGCCCCUUUCUUUACCCCUGCUGCACAGUCCAGCCGGCCACACGGCCGUCUUUUCAUGGAUCUAGAUGCGUACUCCACUGCUUCUUGGCUCUAGAUCCAUGAAAACUCUGCUUUGUUGUACCUCUAGAGGCUAACAGCGAUAAAAAUGGUUAAUGAAGUGGAUGAGGCAUACCGAUGUCAGUCAAAUUACAACCAUUGGUGAGGCCGCCGAGUGGAGCUACUACAAGAGACGGGCGCAACAGCUCUCUGGACAUGAACAUUGUUCUAGGUCAAUUCGUCAUCAGUCAAUAAGAGGGUAAUCCGAAUUCUGAAAUUUCAUUUUCUAUUUUCUAACCCAUCAAAUCAAUUUAUGGCUUGAGUCUUGAGGUCAUGUUCAUAGGAAAUCAAUUUGCAAUUAUAUGUAACGGUUGCUCCCUACAGUUUUAUCAAACAGCCUUUAAUAUUUCGAAUUUACAACUAUGGCCUAUAGACUAAAGAAUAAGGUAUUUUCAACUUGAUAUUUGGGCAGUCUCGGCAGGUUCUUUUUUGCCCUAGUGUACAACAGCAAGAACUACCGCAAUUAGCUUAUGUAUACUUGAACGAAUCUUCCUGUUUUGUUGGAUCGCCGGUGUCAAUUUGUUCGGGUAGAACCAUAUUUAUUUCUUGGGAAUCCAAAUUGAAAAAGUAGGCCUUUAUACCUUUUUUGUUUCUUACCACAAGAGGGUAUGGAUGACCAUCUCAAUCGGUGGCAUUCCGUUAAUUUUUAAAUCACAAUCCAUCUUACCUUAUAUAUUUACUAAUUGGAAGCACUAAUUGAGACACCAUGUUAAUCCUAGAAAAUUAACAAAAUCAUCCAUCCGAUCUUAGAGUUGCAUCUCUGGAGCCGUCGGAUGAAAUCCGUCAUAGUCCGUACGAACUAUCCCACAUGAGAAAGUUCCUUCUAGGCCUCUCCCUGAAAAAAAUAUUUCCAUCUCACCUCUUCCCCAUCUCUUCCACCCAUCCACGAUCUUCCUCCUCUGCGGCCUCUCCAUGUCCUCUUCUACCCAGCCCCGGUCUAUGUUGCAGACCUUGAAGAACGUGACCCAAUCUAAUACAUAUACAGGCAAUGCCAUGAAUCAUGAAGGUUUGACAUAGGUGACUAUGUCUGUCCUCAACAUACCUGACGUUUGAUCAUUAUUACUGGACCACGCCCUGUCCAAAAAUUAAUUAGGCAAACUGAAGCUAUGUUUAUUCCGUACAUUUUCUCAUGGUUCACGAAGAUAUAUGAAGCAGUUUGGCGAUCCCAAAAUUCAUUGAUCUAAUAUGUAGUUUUUAAUUAAUGAUUCCACUGUCAGUUUUCAUCACUUAUCUGCUCUCUUUUAUCUGAAUUUUAUUUCUAAAGAACACAACACACACACAUGAGGUUGAAGGAAAUAGAGAACAGAAAUUCAGUCAUAGAGAGAGGCUUUUGCCAUGCCAAAACUUGCUUCAUUUUUAGUCUUUCCUUUUAUUUCAUCGCUUAACUGAACAGACGGGAAAUUCGCCACAAUCCAAUAGUUGCGCGUGCCAUCCCACGAGCCCGGAUUGUGCCGGGUCAAACGCUAAUUAAACAAGCUAAAAUUAGGUAUGGGCCACAACAGGAACGCAGCAAGAUUCUGGCUACAGUAAACAUUCAGAUCAAAGACACAUGUGAUUGCUUAUGCAGCUACUGAAGAAAUAAGAGAAACUGAAGAAAAACUUGUAGACAGAUUGAGGUUAACAUCAACAUCCGCAAGCACGAAUCGUCCGACAGGAAAACAGUAAGCAGCACCAGCCCUUCGUUAACUCUAAUAGUACUGUUGUAUGUAUUGAAGUUCUUCUGUUUCACUUCCUUUUUGUUAUGGCCGUGAAAUAGCCAUGGUACAUAAGUCAUUUUUUUUCUUGUGUAUAGAUAUCUCUCCACAUGUUUCCAUGUGAUAGCCAUUGCUAUUUCUUUCCUUAUAUGCAUAUUUAUUUACUAGGUCUGUUAACACGAGUGUCUCCCUAAGGUCCUAAAACAUUUACUGUGAAUUCUAUAUAAAAAAACCAUUUUUUUGCAAAAAAAGGCCAUGUAGAAAGUAACAUGAUAUUUUGUCUUUUAUAUUAAAAUCUAAUAAAUAGUAAAUUGAAAAAAAUACUACGCGCCAUCCGCAGCUCCUUACUGUUCUUUGCAUAUUGUGUAUUUAUAAUAUGAUUUGUAUUGAUAUAUGCAAUUUGCAAAUCGAGUAUGUAUAAUAUUAUUUUUUGGCUCAGUAUGUGUCAGUUAUAUGAUUGUGAUUUAGUGUAAUUAGAUUAUGGAGGUCCUUCUCUUUUUAGGCUAUCGUCAUGUUGGUGCAACAAAUAUCUUCAUGACCAUGUACCUCUUAUGUGAUUAUCCAUUCUUUUAUUUCCAAGUAAAAUUCUACUUUAGGAUGGAUUAGCUAAGCUUUAGAUUGACCCCAAGUCACCACAGGACGCCUUGGUAUUGACAGAAACAUCACGUCAGAUACAAAAAUAAAUACAGAUAAAUGAGAUACAUAAUGCCUCAAAACAAAAGCUUGGGUUCACAAAGUCAAAAUUUCUCAGAUCUCAGGAGCCAUGAUAUGGAGUCCUUCCAAAAAGAUUUACAUCAAACUUAACAAAACUAAAUUGUUUCUACCCAAUUGUUUCCUAAAAGAUGUACGCAUUCUGUUUUGCUUUUAGUUUUCAGUUUGGAGCUACCUGUUGAAUUAGUUUUGUUGGGUGCUCACUAUCUAAAUUAUAACUGUGAUCAACAAAUGUGUAUUGUAUAUGGGAUAAUAUGUGGAUUAUGAUCUCAAGGGUGAAAAGAUAGAUUUAGUACGUCUUGAAUAUUUUGAUUUUCCCAAGUAUUUUAGGGAUACACAAAUGUAGUUGUAAUGUCCAAAUAUCUAUUUCCUCAACAAGCUUCAUUAUGAUCUCAACGCUGAUUUAAUCUAUUCAUCAUUUCAUCCAUGUUGCAUGAAAAUACCAACUGUAUUUAAAGAAGAAAAAAAACUUAUUGUUUGAGUUCAUUCCAAUAUAUUGUAGCAGCAAAUAUUGUUAUCUGCUAAUUCUCAGUUGUGAAUUAGUUUGAAUUUGUUGUGGCCUGUUCUAGAGAUAAUUAGACCGCUCACGAAAUUAGACUACACAUUGGUCAUGUUGCAAGUGUUUAAAAUGGCUGCUCUGACUACAUUUUCAUCUAAGGGUUACUCAUUUAACUGUUACGUACUACUCUUUGGGGUAGCUUUCAUGCCAAAGAAGAGUACCAUAUGCAAAUGUUUAAAGCCAAAUUCUCUUUUUGUGUGGUUUCCCUUCCAGUUUUAUAUCCGUAUAAUCCAGAGUAAAAAAAGGCACCCCGGUGCAUGUAGCUCCCGCUUGCGCAGGGUCUGAUCAUAGAAAAAUAUUUUGUAGUCAUCUCAUAUAAUUUUGCAUGGCAGUUUCGCAGUGAUGAAUUGUAUCCUCUUUUCCUAUCUAGAGGUAAAUUGCAGGGUAGGAAAUCAAAUAUGAGCCUCAAGCAUGAUCAGAUAUAACUGCAAUCUUAGUUGUUAAAAAAAUAAAAUAUGAGCUUCAUUUCUUGUAAACUUCUAGGAUAUUAAAUAUUCUAAAUCAUGUUGCCACAAAUGGCCACAACCAGGAUUAAUAUGAGAACUUUUAAAGAGGGUUGUCGUACAUGGUUUAAUUUUUUGUGAUACCGAUAGAACACAUGUAACAAUAAUGCAUUUGUACGGGUUUGUGCUUGCUUCCUCAACACAAAUUAGUGGGCAAGGCAAUUAGGAACUUUGUGCCACUUACUGGAAACCGAUUAUAUCCCACUGUUUUUUAACUGGCUCGACCUAUUUCUGGUAGCACUUGAAGCUACCAUGGUUUUUGGAUACCCAAAAGACUUAUGUUUUUGCAUUUUCUUAUCCUUUGGCUUGAUCCUGACACACUGAAUUUUCAUUUUGCAGUGUCUCCCUAAGGUCCUAAAACAUUUACUGUGAAUUCUAUAUAAAAAAACCAUUUUUUUGCAAAAAUGGCCAUGUGGAAAGUAACAUGAUAUUUUGUCUUUUGUAUUAAAAUCUAAUAAAUAGUAAAUCGAAAAAAAUACUAUGCGCCAUCCGCAGCUCCUUACUGUUCUUUGCAUAUUGUGUAUUUAUAAUAUGAUUUGUAUUGAUAUUUGCAAUUUGCAAAUCGAGUAUGUAUAAUAUUAUUUUUUUGGCUCAGUCUGUGUCAGUUAUAUGAUUGUUAUUUAGUGUAAUUAGAUUAUGGAGGUCCUUCUGUUUUUAGGCUAUCGUCAUGUUGGUGCAACAAAUAUCUGCAUGACCAUGUACCUCUUAUGUGAUUAUCCAUUCUUUUAUUUCCAAGUAAAAUUCUACUUUAGGAUGGAUUAGCUAAGCUUUAGAUUGACCCCAAGUCACCAUAGGACGCCUUGGUAUUGACAGAAACAUCACGUCAGAUACAAAAAUAAAUACAGAUUAAUGAGAUACAUAAUGCCUCAAAACCAAAGCUUGGGUUCACAAAGUCGAAAUUUCUCAGAUCUCAGGAGCCAUGAUAUGGAGUCCUUCCAAAAAGAUUUACAUCAAACUUAACAAAACUAAAUUAUUUCUACCCAAUUGUUUCCUAAAAGAUGUACGCAUUCCGUUUGGCUUUUAGUUUUGAGUUUGGAGCUACCUGUUGAAUUAGUUUUGUUGGGUGCUCACUAUCUAAAUUAUAACUGUGAUCAAAAAAUGUGUAUUGUAUAUGGGAUAAUAUGUGGAUUGUGAUCUCAAGGGUGAAAAGAUAGAUUUAGUACGUCUUGAAGAUUUUGAUUUUCCCAAGUAUUUUAGGGAUAUAAAAAUGUAGGUGUAAUGUCCAAAUAUCUAUUUCCUCAACAAGCUUCAUUAUGAUCUCAACGCUGAUUUAAUCUAUUCAUCAUUUCAUCCAUGUUGCAUGAAAAUACCAACUGUAUUUAAAGAAGAAAAACACUUAUUGUUUGAGUUCAGUCCAAUAUACUGUAGCAGAAAAUAUUGUUAUCUGCUAAUUCUCAGUUGUGAAUUAGUUUGAAUUUGUGGUGGCCUGUCCUAGAGAUAAUUAGACCGCUCGUGAAAUUAGACUACACAUUGGUCAUGUUGCAAGUGUUUAAAAUGGCUUCUCUGACUACAUUUUCAUCUAAGGGUUACUCAUUUAAUUGUUACGUACUACUCUUUGGAGUAGCUUUCAUGCCAAAGAAGAGUACUAUAUGCAAACGUUUAAAGCCAAAUUCUCUUUUCGUGUGGUUUCCCUUCCAGUUUUAUAUCCGUAUAAUCCAGAGUAAAAAAGGCACCCCGGUGCAUGUAGCUCCCGCUUGCAUAGGGUCUGAUCAUAGAAAAAAAUUUUGUAGUCAUCUCAUAUAAUUUUGCAUGGCAGUUUCGCAAUGAUGAAUAGUAUCCUCUUUUCCUAUCUAGAGGUAAAUUGCAGGGUAGGAAAUCAAAUAUGAGCCUCAAGCAUGAUCAGAUAUAACUGCAAUCUUAGUUGUUAAAAAAAUAAAAAUAUGAGCUUCAUUUGUUGUAAACUUCUAGGAUAUUAAAUAUUCUAAAUCAUGUUCCCACAAAUGGCCACAACCAGGAUUAAUAUGAGAACUUUUAAAGAGGGUUGUCGUACAUGGUUUAAUUUUUUGCGAUACCGAUAGAACACAUGUAACAAUAAUGCAUUUUUAUGGGUUUGUGCUUGCUUCCUCAACACAAAUUAGUGGGCAAGGCAAUCAGGAACUUUGUGCCACUUACUGGAAACCGAUUAUAUCCCACUGUUUUUUAACAGGCUCAACCUAUUUCUGGUAGCACUUGAAGCUACCAUGGUUUUUGGAUACCCAAAAGACUUAUGUUUUUGCAUUUUCUUAUCCUUUGGCUUGAUCCUGACACGCUGAAUUUUCAUUUUGCAGCACUUACACUGCUUGAGGAACCAUGUCUCUUUGAAAAGCUCAUAUGGUUUGAAAUCAAUGUUUAUAUGUAAAGAGAUUUGUCUCAGGUGCAACAAAAAAAGCAGAUCAAUUUGGUGUGCAAGAGGCUGAUGAUAACUAUUUGAUUUUUUUCUUAUCUCUCAGACAUUAUUAAUUUUCUUACCUGUACGAUUCUGUACUUUAUGACACUAUAGCUUCCUAUUAUCAGUGUUUUUGUAGGAUGGUAUGACCAUGUACUGGAUGGUAUUUCACAACCUAAAUGGUCUUUAUCUUUUCUAAAAAAUUAUUGGAUUUAAUACUUUAGUUGACUAAGCUUUGUAAAUUUUAGCUUAAAAUAUAAGACCUUAUUGAGCACAUAUCAAAGUUCUU